rnacentral:tRNA from 1 species
GGGGAAUUAGCUUAGCUGGUAGAGCGUCAGGUUCGCAAUCUGAAGGUCGGGAGUUCGAAUCUCCUAUUCUCCA